UUCCAGACUCCUACGGGAGGCAGCAGUGGGGGAUAUUGCACAAUGGGGGAAACCCUGAUGCAGCAACGCCGCGUGAGUGAAGAAGUAUUUCGGUAUGUAAAGCUCUAUCAGCAGGGAAGAGAAUGACGGUACCUGACUAAGAAGCCCCGGCUAACUACGUGCCAGCAGCCGCGGUAAUACGUAGGGGGCGAGCGUUAUCCGGAUUUACUGGGUGUAAAGGGAGCGUAGACGGCUGGUCAGGUCUGAAGUGAAAGCCCGGGGCUUAACCCCGGGACUGCUCUGGAAACUGUGCAGCUAGAGUGCAGGAGAGGCAGGCGGAAUUCCUAGUGUAGCGGUGAAAUGCGUAGAUAUUAGGAGGAACACCGGUGGCGAAGGCGGCCUGCUGGACUGUAACUGACGUUGAGGCUCGAAAGCGUGGGGAGCAAACAGGAUUAGAUACCCUAGUAA
rnacentral:rRNA from 1 species